ACAGGUACCGUAACCCAUGCAAGUCGAGCGGUAACUUUCUAGCUUGCUAGAAGAUGACGAGCGGCGGACGGGUGAGUAAUGCUUGGGAACAUGCCUUUAGGUGGGGGACAACCAUUGGAAACGAUGGCUAAUACCGCAUAAUGUCUACGGACCAAAGGGGGCUUCGGCUCUCGCCUUUAGAUUGGCCCAAGUGGGAUUAGCUAGUUGGUGAGGUAACGGCUCACCAAGGCGACGAUCCCUAGCUGGUUUGAGAGGAUGAUCAGCCACACUGGAACUGAGACACGGUCCAGACUCCUACGGGAGGCAGCAGUGGGGAAUAUUGCACAAUGGGCGCAAGCCUGAUGCAGCCAUGCCGCGUGUGUGAAGAC
rnacentral:rRNA from 1 species